rnacentral:lncRNA from 13 species
CUUUUGUUUUAGCUUGAAGAACUUACAUUGGCAUUUCUUUCAAGCAAGUCUAGUGAAGAUGAAGUUCCUCAGUUAUCGUUUGCCUUAGAAAAUCUUUAUGUCCUCUUCGGUUUUGAAGAUUUCCUACAUAAAGUAUUCCUAAUUGGCAGUUUAAUUCUUCAGCAGUUUGUAUGUAUCAUGCUGCUUUUCUCGCUUGCAAAGUUUCUGCUGAGAAAUCUGAUGAUAGAUUCAUGUAAGUUCCCUAAUAUGUGAAAAGUUUCCUUCUUCUUGCUGCUUUCAAAAUUCUGUUUCUAAUAUUUGACAGCUUGAAUAUGUGUUGGUGAAGUCUUCUUUGGUUUGAAUCUGUUGUGAGAUCUUUGACUUUUAUGUACCUGAUGUCAUUAAGCCCUCAUAUUUGAGAAAUUUUUAACGUUUAUUUUAUAAGAGCUUUCCAGGGUCUGACUCCCCAUGGUUUUCCCUCAAGAAACAUCCACUCAGCCUCCUGUGAGAUCCCAGGCCCCUCUCUCACCGCCCUAACCCAGUCUCCUGAUUUCCAGCUUAUAGAGACCUCCUGACAGGCCUGGAGCGCUUCUGGACUUGCUUUCACAACUGCAGCGGUGAGGCACUUCCCCUUCCCUGCAUCCUUCUUACUGGCAGCCUAGAGCUGACCUGGGAUGGGGAGACCAGGGGGACAGAGGAUGGGAGUAAAACCCUGGAGCAAGGCGUAGGAGAAGAAUUGGGGAGUCUGGGUGUGGGGCAGUGGAGGCGCAUAGGAGGAGAAUUGGGCAGUCAGCAUGUGGGGUGGUGGAGGGACAUAGGAGGAGAAUUGGGGAGUCGGAGUGUGGGGUGGUGGAGGGGCAUAGGAUAAUUUGGGGGUCUGGGUGUGGGGCGGUGGAGAGGCAUAGAAGAAUUGGGCAGUCAGGAUGUGGGGCAGUGGAGGGGCAUAGGAGAACUGGGGAGUCUGGGUGUGGGGCGGUGGAGGGGCUUAGGAGAAUUGGGGGGUCUGGGUGUGGGGCGGUGGAGGGGCAGGGACCCAUACGCCCACUCUGCCCUACGGCCCUAUCUGCUCCUGGCUGCAGCUUGUGCCUCCUGUCUCCUGCAGCAUCCCAGGGCCACAUCCUGAGAAAGGCAACUUUGGUCGGCUCUCUGGUCCAGAUCCCCCAGGCUUCAUUGCUCCUCCCCUGCGGGACUCCACUCUGAUGACUCCAUCUCACAGUGACUCAGUGGCGCUUCCACUGGGCACCAUCCAUCAAAGCUCAUCUCCGUGUGAGCUCUUCUGCUCUUUUAUCUUUCUCUCUUCUCCAUCUGUGACUUUCAUAAUGUGAAAGAUAGUUUUCUGAGAUAUCCCAUAAAUCCCGAGCUUUUAUUCUUCUUUUUAAUUUUAUUUUUCUUUGUUUAGAUAUUUUCAUAUGACAUCUCUUUAGUUUACAGGUUAUUUAUUCUACUUGAUCAAGUCUGCUAUUGACACUCUGC